rnacentral:rRNA from 1 species
GACGAACGCUGGCGGCGUGCCUAAUACAUGCAAGUCGAACGCAGUGGGGACGGGUGAGUAACACGUGGGUAACCUCCCAUCAGAGGGGAUAACACUUGGAAACCGGUGCUAAACCGAUACUGAUGGAUGGACCCGCGGUUCAUUAGCUAGUUGGUGAGGUAACGGCUCACCAAGGCCACGAUGCAUAGCCGACAUGAGAGGGGGAUCGGCCACACUGGGACGAGGAAACGGCACAGACGCCGACGGGAGGCAGCAGGAGGGAAUCUUCGGCAAGGGACGAAAGUCUGACCGAGCAACGCCGCGUGAGGGAAGAAGGUUUUCGGAUCGUAAAACUCUGUUGUUAGAGAAGCGGUAUCUAACCAGAAAGCCACGGCUAACUACGUGCCAGCAGCCGCGGUAAUAC